rnacentral:rRNA from 1 species
UACGUAGGGGGCAAGCGUUAUCCGGAAUCAUUGGGCGUAAAGCGCGUGUAGGCGGUUCCGUAAGUCCGCUCUGAAAGCCCAGGGCUCAACCCUGGGAGGCGGGUGGAUACUACGGAACUGGAGUACGGAAGAGGAGAUUGGAAUUCCUGGUGUAGCGGUGAAAUGCGCAGAUAUCAGGAGGAACACCAACAGCGGAAGGCAGAUCUCUGGGACGUUACUGACGCUGAGACGCGAAAGCGUGGGGAGCAAACAGG